CACCGGGAUUGCCUUAGUACGGCGAGUGAAGCGGCAAAAGCUCAAAUUUGAAAUCUGGUACCUUCGGUGCCCGAGUUGUAAUUUGGAGAGGGCAACUUUGGGGCCGUUCCUUGUCUAUGUUCCUUGGAACAGGACGUCAUAGAGGGUGAGAAUCCCGUGUGGCGAGGAGUGCGGUUCUUUGUAAAGUGCCUUCGAAGAGUCGAGUUGUUUGGGAAUGCAGCUCUAAGUGGGUGGUAAAUUCCAUCUAAAGCUAAAUAUUGGCGAGAGACCGAUAGCGAACAAGUACAGUGAUGGAAAGAUGAAAAGAACUUUGAAAAGAGAGUGAAAAAGUACGUGAAAUUGUUGAAAGGGAAGGGCAUUUGAUCAGACAUGGUGUUUUGUGCCCUCUGCUCCUUGUGGGUAGGGGAAUCUCGCAUUUCACUGGGCCAGCAUCAGUUU
rnacentral:rRNA from 1 species